AUUGAACGCUGGCGGCAGGCCUAACACAUGCAAGUCGAGCGGAGCGGCGGACGGGUGAGUAAUGUCUGGGAAACUGCCUGCUGGAGGGGGAUAACUACUGGAAACGGUAGCUAAUACCGCAUACUCUCAGAUGAGCCUAGUUCGGAGUAGCUAGUGGGUGGGGUAACGGCCUACCAAGGCGACGAUCCGUAACUGGUCUGAGAGGAUGAUCAGUAACACUGGAACUGAGACACGGUCCAGACUCCUACGGGAGGCAGCAGUGGGGAAUAUUGGACAAUGGGCGAAAGCCUGAUCCAGCCAUGCCGCGUGUGUGAAGAAGGUCUUCGGAUUGUAAAGCACUUUAAGUUGGGAGGCGUUACCCGCAGAAGAAGCACCGGCUAACUCCGUGCCAGCAGCCGCGGUAAUUC
rnacentral:rRNA from 1 species